GGAAAGUGGGUCGGGGGCGGCCGUCACGGUUAGGCGCGUGUCGCCACGUUUCUGAACUGUAGUGACAGGGGAACUAAGAAACCGUUCAAACUGUGUCCCAGUGCUUAACUCAUCGUACUUGGAACUCAAAGCGUGGAGCUCUGACGACGCAGAGUGGCUGUGGUCCAGCGAUCCCCGGAGUCAAAGCAGAGAACUGAAGGGGCGAGUGGCCCGGAUCGGCGGGCGGUCGCCUGCGGUCCUCCUGCGGCUCCCAGCCGCCACCGCCCGGGCGGGCCCAUCGGUUGCGAAAGUGCGUCUCGCCCGAAAUAGCGCCCAGCAGGCGCGGCCGCGCUGACGGACGAGCGGUCCGGAUCUCGGUACGCAGACUGGGCCAUGCGGCGGCGCGGCCUCUGAGCUCGCCACGCUGGCUACCGUGUCGGUGACAUCGCUGGU